GAUGAAGAACGCAGCGAAAUGCGAUAAGUAAUGUGAAUUGCAGAAUUCAGUGAAUCAUCGAAUCUUUGAACGCACAUUGCGCCCGCCAGUAUUCUGGCGGGCAUGCCUGUCUGAGCGUCAUUUCAACCCUCACGCCCCUAGGGCGUGGUGUUGGGGAUCGGCCAAAGCCCGCGAGGGACGGCCGGCCCCUAAAUCUAGUGGCGGACCCGUCGUGGCCUCCUCUGCGAAGUAGUGAUAUUCCGCAUCGGAGAGCGAUGAGCCCCUGCCGUCAAACCCCCAACUUUCCAAGGUUGACCUCAGAUCAGGUAGGAAUACCCGCUGAACUUAAGCAUAUCAAUAAGCGGAGGA
rnacentral:misc_RNA from 1 species